rnacentral:rRNA from 1 species
AGCGUACACGGUGGAUGCCCUGGCAGUCAGAGGCGAUGAAGGACGUGCUAAUCUGCGAUAAGCGUCGGUAAGGUGAUAUGAACCGUUAUAACCGGCGAUUUCCGAAUGGGGAAACCCAGUGUGUUUCGACACACUAUCAUUAACUGAAUCCAUAGGUUAAUGAGGCGAACCGGGGGAACUGAAACAUCUAAGUACCCCGAGGAAAAGAAAUCAACCGAGAUUCCCCCAGUAGCGGCGAGCGAACGGGGAGCAGCCCAGAGCCUGAAUCAGUGUGUGUGUUAGUGGAAGCGUCUGGAAAGGCGCGCGAUACAGGGUGACAGCCCCGUACACAAAAAUGCACAUAUUGUGAGCUCGAUGAGUAGGGCGGGACACGUGGUAUCCUGUCUGAAUAUGGGGGGACCAUCCUCCAAGGCUAAAUACUCCUGACUGACCGAUAGUGAACCAGUACCGUGAGGGAAAGGCGAAAAGAACCCCGGCGAGGGGAGUGAAAAAGAACCUGAAACCGUGUACGUACAAGCAGUGGGAGCCUCUUUUAUGGGGUGACUGCGUACCUUUUGUAUAAUGGGUCAGCGACUUAUAUUCUGUAGCAAGGUUAACCGAAUAGGGGAGCCGAAGGGAAACCGAGUCUUAACUGGGCGUUAAGUUGCAGGGUAUAGACCCGAAACCCGGUGAUCUAGCCAUGGGCAGGUUGAAGGUUGGGUAACACUAACUGGAGGACCGAACCGACUAAUGUUGAAAAAUUAGCGGAUGACUUGUGGCUGGGGGUGAAAGGCCAAUCAAACCGGGAGAUAGCUGGUUCUCCCCGAAAGCUAUUUAGGUAGCGCCUCGUGAAUUCAUCUCCGGGGGUAGAGCACUGUUUCGGCAAGGGGGUCAUCCCGACUUACCAACCCGAUGCAAACUGCGAAUACCGGAGAAUGUUAUCACGGGAGACACACGGCGGGUGCUAACGUCCGUCGUGAAGAGGGAAACAACCCAGACCGCCAGCUAAGGUCCCAAAGUCAUGGUUAAGUGGGAAACGAUGUGGGAAGGCCCAGACAGCCAGGAUGUUGGCUUAGAAGCAGCCAUCAUUUAAAGAAAGCGUAAUAGCUCACUGGUCGAGUCGGCCUGCGCGGAAGAUGUAACGGGGCUAAACCAUGCACCGAAGCUGCGGCAGCGACGCUUAUGCGUUGUUGGGUAGGGGAGCGUUCUGUAAGCCUGUGAAGGUGUGCUGUGAGGCAUGCUGGAGGUAUCAGAAGUGCGAAUGCUGACAUAAGUAACGAUAAAGCGGGUGAAAAGCCCGCUCGCCGGAAGACCAAGGGUUCCUGUCCAACGUUAAUCGGGGCAGGGUGAGUCGACCCCUAAGGCGAGGCCGAAAGGCGUAGUCGAUGGGAAACAGGUUAAUAUUCCUGUACUUGGUGUUACUGCGAAGGGGGGACGGAGAAGGCUAUGUUGGCCGGGCGACGGUUGUCCCGGUUUAAGCGUGUAGGCUGGUUUUCCAGGCAAAUCCGGAAAAUCAAGGCUGAGGCGUGAUGACGAGGCACUACGGUGCUGAAGCAACAAAUGCCCUGCUUCCAGGAAAAGCCUCUAAGCAUCAGGUAACAUCAAAUCGUACCCCAAACCGACACAGGUGGUCAGGUAGAGAAUACCAAGGCGCUUGAGAGAACUCGGGUGAAGGAACUAGGCAAAAUGGUGCCGUAACUUCGGGAGAAGGCACGCUGAUAUGUAGGUGAAGUCCCUUGCGGAUGGAGCUGAAAUCAGUCGAAGAUACCAGCUGGCUGCAACUGUUUAUUAAAAACACAGCACUGUGCAAACACGAAAGUGGACGUAUACGGUGUGACGCCUGCCCGGUGCCGGAAGGUUAAUUGAUGGGGUCAGCGCAAGCGAAGCUCUUGAUCGAAGCCCCGGUAAACGGCGGCCGUAACUAUAACGGUCCUAAGGUAGCGAAAUUCCUUGUCGGGUAAGUUCCGACCUGCACGAAUGGCGUAAUGAUGGCCAGGCUGUCUCCACCCGAGACUCAGUGAAAUUGAACUCGCUGUGAAGAUGCAGUGUACCCGCGGCAAGACGGAAAGACCCCGUGAACCUUUACUAUAGCUUGACACUGAACAUUGAGCCUUGAUGUGUAGGAUAGGUGGGAGGCUUUGAAGUGUGGACGCCAGUCUGCAUGGAGCCGACCUUGAAAUACCACCCUUUAAUGUUUGAUGUUCUAACGUGGACCCGUGAUCCGGGUUGCGGACAGUGUCUGGUGGGUAGUUUGACUGGGGCGGUCUCCUCCUAAAGAGUAACGGAGGAGCACGAAGGUUGGCUAAUCCUGGUCGGACAUCAGGAGGUUAGUGCAAUGGCAUAAGCCAGCUUGACUGCGAGCGUGACGGCGCGAGCAGGUGCGAAAGCAGGUCAUAGUGAUCCGGUGGUUCUGAAUGGAAGGGCCAUCGCUCAACGGAUAAAAGGUACUCCGGGGAUAACAGGCUGAUACCGCCCAAGAGUUCAUAUCGACGGCGGUGUUUGGCACCUCGAUGUCGGCUCAUCACAUCCUGGGGCUGAAGUAGGUCCCAAGGGUAUGGCUGUUCGCCAUUUAAAGUGGUACGCGAGCUGGGUUUAGAACGUCGUGAGACAGUUCGGUCCCUAUCUGCCGUGGGCGCUGGAGAACUGAGGGGGGCUGCUCCUAGUACGAGAGGACCGGAGUGGACGCAUCACUGGUGUUCGGGUUGUCAUGCCAAUGGCACUGCCCGGUAGCUAAAUGCGGAAGAGAUAAGUGCUGAAAGCAUCUAAGCACGAAACUUGCCCCGAGAUGAGUUCU